rnacentral:rRNA from 1 species
GUAGGGAAUAUUGCACAAUGGGCGAAAGCCUGAUGCAGCAACGCCGCGUGAGGGACGACGGCCUUCGGGUUGUAAACCUCUUUUAGUAGGGAAGAAGCGAAAGUGACGGUACCUGCAGAAAAAGCACCGGCUAACUACGUGCCAGCAGCCGCGGUAAUACGUAGGGUGCAAGCGUUAUCCGGAAUUAUUGGGCGUAAAGAGCUCGUAGGCGGUCUGUCGCGUCUGCUGUGAAAACUGGAGGCUCAACCUCCAGCCUGCAGUGGGUACGGGCAGACUAGAGUGCGGUAGGGGAGAUUGGAAUUCCUGGUGUAGCGGUGGAAUGCGCAGAUAUCAGGAGGAACACCGAUGGCGAAGGCAGAUCUCUGGGCCGUAACUGACGCUGAGGAGCGAAAGCGUGGGGAGCGAACAGGAUUAGAAACCCCAGUAGUCC